UACAGAGGGUGCAAGCGUUGUUCGGAAUUAUUGGGCUUAAAGCGCGUGUAGGCGGCUUUGCAAGUCGGGUGUGAAAGCCCUCAGCUCAACUGAGGAAGUGCGCCCGAAACUGCAGAGCUUGAGUACCGGAGAGGAUGGCGGAAUUCCCCAAGUAGAGGUGAAAUUCGUAGAUAUGGGGAGGAACACCGGUGGCGAAGGCGGCCAUCUGGACGGAUACUGACGCUGAGACGCGAAAGCGUGGGUAGCAAACAGG
rnacentral:rRNA from 1 species